rnacentral:rRNA from 1 species
UACGAGGGGGGCGAGCGUUGUUCGGAAUUAUUGGGCGUAAAGGGUGCGUAGGCGGUUCCGCAAGUCCUGUGUGAAAUCUUCGGGCUCAACUCGAAGUCUGCACGGGAAACUGCGGGGCUUGAGUGUGGGAGAGGUGAGUGGAAUUCCCGGUGUAGCGGUGAAAUGCAUAGAUAUCGGGAGGAACACCUGUGGCGAAAGCGGCUCACUGGACCUAACUGACGCUGAUGCACGAAAGCUGGGGGGAGCAAACAGG